UAAAAAAAGGUAAGCUACUAAGAGCGAAUGGUGGAUGCCUUGACUGGUAAAGGCGAUGAAGGACGUACUAGACUGCGAUAAGCUACGGGGAGCUGUCAAGAAGCUUUGAUCCGUAGAUUUCCGAAUGGGGCAACCCAAUGUAUAGAGAUAUACAUUACCUAUAUAGGAGCGAACGAGGGGAAUUGAAACAUCUUAGUACCCUCAGGAAAAGAAAUCAAUAGAGAUUGCGUCAGUAGCGGCGAGCGAAAGCGCAAGAGGGCAAACCCAGUGCUUGCACUGGGGGUUGUAGGACUGCAAUGUGCAAGAGCUGAGUUUAGCAGAACAUUCUGGAAAGUAUAGCCAUAGAGGGUGAUAGUCCCGUAUGCGAAAAACAAAGCUUAGCUAGCAGUAUCCUGAGUAGGGCGGGACACGAGGAAUCCUGUCUGAAUCCGGGUCGACCACGAUCCAACCCUAAAUACUAAUACCAGAUCGAUAGUGCACAAGUACCGUGAGGGAAAGGUGAAAAGAACUGAGGUGAUCAGAGUGAAAUAGAACCUGAAACCAUUUGCUUACAAUCAUUCAGAGCACUAUGUAGCAAUACAGUGUGAUGGACUGCCUUUUGCAUAAUGAGCCUGCGAGUUGUGGUGUCUGGCAAGGUUAAGCAAACGCGAAGCCGUAGCGAAAGCGAGUCUGAAUAGGGCGCUUAGUCAGAUGCUGCAGACCCGAAACGAAGUGAUCUAUCCAUGAGCAAGUUGAAGCUAGUGUAAGAACUAGUGGAGGACUGAACCCAUAGGCGUUGAAAAGCCCCGGGAUGACUUGUGGAUAGGGGUGAAAGGCCAAUCAAACUUCGUGAUAGCUGGUUCUCUCCGAAAUAUAUUUAGGUAUAGCGUUGUGUCGUAAUAUAAGGGGGUAGAGCACUGAAUGGGCUAGGGCAUACACCAAUGUACCAAACCCUAUCAAACUCCGAAUACCUUAUAUGUAAUCACAGCAGUCAG
rnacentral:rRNA from 1 species